AGAACCUGUUUGCUGCAGACAGCUAUGUCAUUUCCUCUUGGUUCCCACCAUCAUCGAGGAACCCCAUGGAUCACCUUCCGGAUAAUGCAGCCAGUCUGCAGUGGAUUAUUUUCCCAGUGUCCGUACCUGGACAUUGGACACUCUGUACACGUAGCUCACAGCCUCUCUUCUGGCCCCUGGAGA